rnacentral:tRNA from 1 species
GCAUGGCUGGCCCAGUUGGUCGGGCAUGCAAUUCUUGAUCUCAAGGUUGUGAGUUCGAGCCCCAUGUCAGGUA